CAGGAUGGUUUUAGUUCUUCUCCAGAGAGAGGCAUCCUGAUAAAAGGACAUGGGCAAUCCUUUAAUUGAUUUCUCAGCUGGACAUUGGAAAUAGCUUUUGAUGGUCCUGGGCUUCUUUCAUUUGACCCAGGAAAUAGCUGAGACAUAUGCCCUAAAACUUCAAAAAGAAGAGAGGGAGAGAAAAAAAUCAACCCGAGA